rnacentral:tRNA from 1 species
UCUAAUAUGGCAGAACAGUGCAAUAAAUUUAAGCUUUAUAAACAAAGGAUAACCUUUUAUUAGAA